CGAGCGGCCCUUCGGGGCAGCGGCGAACGGGUGAGUAACGCGUCGGAACGUACCCUAAAGUGGAGAAUAGCUCGCCGAAAGGCGGGGUAAUUCUGCAUAAUACCGCAAGGUUAAAGCAGCAAUGCGCUUUAGGAGCGGCCGGCGUCCUAUCAGCUUGUUGGUGAGGUAAUGGCUCACCAAGGCUAUGACGGGUAACUGGUCUGAGAGGACGACCAGUCACAAUGGGACUGAGACACGGCCCAUACUCCUACGGGAGGCAGCAGUUGGGAAUUUUGCGCAAUGGACGAAAGUCUGACGCAGCGACAUCGCGUGGUGGAUGAAGGCCUUCGGGUCGUAAACACCUUUUGUCGAGGAAGAUUAUGACGGUACUCGACGAAUAAGGACCGGCUAACUACGUGCCAGCAGCCGCGGUAAUACGUAGGGUCCAAGCGUUAUCCGGAAUUAUUGGGCGUAAAGAGUACGUAGGUGGUUUGGUAAGUUAUCCGUUAAAUCGUUGGGCUCAACCCAACAACCGCGGGUAAUACUACCAUUCUCGAGGAUGGCAGGGGCAAGCGGAAUUCUGCAAGUAGCAGUGAAAUGCGUUGAUAUGCAGAGGAACACCAAUGGCGAAGGCAGCUUGCUAGGCUAUAUCUGAUACUGAGGUACGAAAGCGUGGGGAGCGAACGGGAUUAGAUACCCCGGUAGUCCACGCCGUAAACGAUGCACACUAGGCAUCAGAAGCAUCGACCCUUCUUGUGCCGAAGCUAACGCGUUAAGUGUGCCGCCUGGGGAGUACGGUCGCAAGACUAAAACUCAAAGGAAUUGACGGAAUCGA
rnacentral:rRNA from 1 species